UACGGGGGGGGGCAAGCGUUGUUCGGAAUUACUGGGCGUAAAGGGCGCGUAGGCGGCCUUCUAAGUCGAACGUGAAAUCCCCGGGCUCAACCCGGGAACUGCGUCCGAUACUGGAAGGCUUGAAUCCGGGAGAGGGAUGCGGAAUUCCUGGUGUAGCGGUGGAAUGCGCAGAUAUCAGGAGGAACACCGGUGGCGAAGGCGGGAUCCUGGGCCAGUACUGACGCUGAGGAGCGAAAGCGUGGGGAGCAAACAGG
rnacentral:rRNA from 1 species